AUACGGAGGAUGCGAGCGUUAUCCGGAUUUAUUGGGUUUAAAGGGUGCGUAGGCGGUCGGGUAAGCGUAGGGUGAAAGUCCUCUGCUCAACAGAGGAAGUGCCUUCCGAACUGUCCGACUGGAAUGCUCCUGCCGUGGGAGGAAUGUGUGGUGUAGCGGUGAAAUGCAUAGAGAUCACACAGAACACCGAUUGCGAAGGCAUCUCACGAAGGGGCUAUUGACGCUGAGGCACGAAAGCGUGGGGAUCAAACAGGAUUAGAUACCCUGGUAGUCCACGCAGUAAACGAUGAUGACUAACCGUCGGUCAAGACUGAUCGGUGGCCAAGCGAAAGCGAUAAGUCAUCCACCUGGGGAGUACGACCGCAAGGUUGAAACUCAAAUGAAUUGGCGGGG
rnacentral:rRNA from 1 species